rnacentral:misc_RNA from 1 species
GUUUAAUCAGAAAAAUAUCAGUUAAGUGUAAACCUGACCCGGGAAUGGAAGAAAAAAUGAUUUUUUUUAAUAACAUGAAAGCUCUUAUACUUAAUCAAGUUUAACAAGGGAAUGUGGAUCAUUGAUGACCCAUUCAAAACCUACCCAAAGACAAAAUGAUACAAUUUGAUAAGAAAAAUGGCUUGAUUGGGCCAGUUCAAAACAGAGAAUAAAUGCCGAAUUUAUGAUCCAUCCAUGUUGGAUCAAAAGGA